UGAGGAAUUUUCCGCAAUGGUCGCAAGACUGACGGAGCAACGCCGCGUGCAGGAGGACGGCCUUCGGGUUGUAAACUGCUUUUCUGGGGGACGAGGAGACAAGGACGGUACCCCAGGAAGAAGCCCCGGCUCACUACGUGCCAGCAGCCGCGGUAAUACGUAGGGGGCGAGCGUUGUCCGGAGUUACUGGGCGUAAAGGGCCCGCAGGCGGUUCGGCGCGUUUCCGGUGCCAGCCCGUUGCCUAACGACGGGAGUGCCGGGAAGACGGUCGGACUCAGAGGGCCUCAGAGGGACAUAGAAUUCCGGGUGGAGUGGUGAAAUGCGUAGAGAUCCGGAGGAAUACCAAAGGCGAAGGCAGUGUCCUGGGAGGCGCCUGACGCUGAGGGGCGAAAGCCAGGGGAGCGAACGGGAUUAGAUACCCCUGUAGUCC
rnacentral:rRNA from 1 species